rnacentral:rRNA from 1 species
AUAUCAAUAAGCGGAGGAAAAGAAACCAACAGGGAUUGCCCCAGUAACGGCGAGUGAAGCGGCAAAAGCUCAAAUUUGAAAUCUGGCCCUUUCAGGGUCCGAGUUGUAAUUUGCAGAGGAUGCUUCGGGUGCGGCCCCGGCCUAAGUUCCUUGGAACAGGACGUCAUAGAGGGUGAGAAUCCCGUCUUUGGUCGUCGGCCCGCGCCCGUGUGAAGCUCCUUCGAAGAGUCGAGUUGUUUGGGAAUGCAGCUCUAAGCGGGUGGUAAAUUUCAUCUAAAGCUAAAUAUUGGCCGGAGACCGAUAGCGCACAAGUAGAGUGAUCGAAAGGUUAAAAGCACCUUGAAAAGGGAGUUAAACAGCACGUGAAAUUGUUGAAAGGGAAGCGCUUGCGGCCAGACUCGGGUGCGGGGUUCAGCGGACGCGUGUCGUCCGUGCACUCCCCGUUUCCCGGGCCAGCAUCAGUUUCGACGGCCGGUCAAAGGCCUCUGGAAUGUGUCGUCUCUCGGGACGUCUUAUAGCCAGAGGUGCAAUGCGGCCUGUUGGGACUGAGGAACGCGCUUCGGCUCGGAUGCUGGCAUAAUGGCCGUAAGCGGCCCGUCUUGAAACACGGACCAAGGAGUCUAACAUCCACGCGAGUGUUCGGGUGUCAAACCCGUGCGCGCAGUGAAAGCGAACGGAGGUGGGAGCCUUAGGGCGCACCAUCGACCGAUCCUGAAGUCUUCGGAUGGAUUUGAGUAGGAGCGUGGCCGUUGGGACCCGAAAGAUGGUGAACUAUGCCUGAAUAGGGUGAAGCCAGAGGAAACUCUGGUGGAGGCUCGCAGCGGUUCUGACGUGCAAAUCGAUCGUCAAAUUUGGGCAUAGGGGCGAAAGACUAAUCGAACCAUCUAGUAGCUGGUUCCUGCCGAAGUUUCCCUCAGGAUAGCAGUAACGAUUUUCCAGUUUUAUGAGGUAAAGCGAAUGAUUAGAGGCCUUGGGGUUGAAACAACCUUAACCUAUUCUCAAACUUUAAAUAUGUAAGAAGCCCUUGUUUCUUAAGUGAACGUGGGCACUAGAAUGGACGUUACUAGUGGGCCAUUUUUGGUAAGCAGAACUGGCGAUGCGGGAUGAACCGAACGCGAGGUUAAGGUGCCGGAAUGCACGCUCAUCAGACACCACAAAAGGUGUUAGUUCAUCUAGACAGCCCGACGGUGGCCAUGGAAGUCGGAAUCCGCUAAGGAGUGUGUAACAACUCACGGGCCGAAUGAACUAGCCCUGAAAAUGGAUGGCGCUCAAGCGUGCUACCCAUACCUCGCCGUCGGGGUUGAAAUGACGCCCCGACGAGUAGGCAGGCGUGGAGGUCCGUGACGAAGC